GUGAAAAGAGAACCACUAGUUUAUUAGACAUUAUGGAGUAGCACAGCUUCACUUUUUGAAUUUUUUUGGUGGCAUGGAACAGGGUGGUAGGUAACUUCCUUUUCCAGCCUCAUUUUUUCAUCAUUUUAAACACAAGGUUUGUUAAUUGUUUUAAAGGCUAAGUUGAGUUAGUUGUAUACUACAUGUAUCCAUUUGUAAUUAUGUAAAAGUGAGUAUGCGUUUAUUUGUAAAUAAUUUUGUUGUCAACUCAUUAUUUCCAUUAGUUGGAACACCGAUGGAGGGACUAAUGGGGUACGUUGUUACGGAGAAGGACUAGAGAACUUAUAUUUUGCUCAACCUGAGCAAGAACUACUUCAGAUCAAAGAACUAUCCUUCCUUUCGACUGAAAAAGCUACUCCCUCCUGGCUGGCCUUGCAAGAGCGGGUG
rnacentral:lncRNA from 1 species